rnacentral:hammerhead_ribozyme from 1 species
GUACUGCUGACGAGUCCCAAACAGGAAGAAACAGCUGUUCAGUAC